GAUGAACGCUGGCGGCGUGCCUAAUACAUGCAAGUCGAGCGAACAGAUAAGGAGCUUGCUCCUUUGACGUUAGCGGCGGACGGGUGAGUAACACGUGGGUAACCUACCUAUAAGACUGGAAUAACUCCGGGAAACCGGGGCUAAUGCCGGAUAACAUUUAGAACCGCAUGGUUCUAAAGUGAAAGAUGGUUUUGCUAUCACUUAUAGAUGGACCCGCGCCGUAUUAGCUAGUUGGUAAGGUAACGGCUUACCAAGGCAACGAUACGUAGCCGACCUGAGAGGGUGAUCGGCCACACUGGAACUGAGACACGGUCCAGACUCCUACGGGAGGCAGCAGUAGGGAAUCUUCCGCAAUGGGCGAAAGCCUGACGGAGCAACGCCGCGUGAGUGAUGAAGGUCUUCGGAUCGUAAAACUCUGUUAUUAGGGGAGAACAAAUGUGUAAGUAACUGUGCACGUCUUGACGGUACCUAAUCAGAAAGCCACGGCUAACUACGUG
rnacentral:rRNA from 1 species